UGUGCACUGGGCAUGGCCCUCCUGGCCUCUGCCUCCUGCAGUGUCUGCUGAGGCCAGGACUGCCCAGGAGUCUGCUGGGUUCAUGUGUUCAGCCACCGCCUGCUAAUGUGCUCGCCUGAGUAUCAUGCCAGCCUGGGUAUCAUGCCCCCCAGGUGUCGUGUCUGCCUAGGGACCCCACACAGCCACAUUUCAAGGACUCAAUAGCCCUAUGUUUCCAACACAGAAAUACCUUCCCCACAGAACAUUCUCUUGGGCAGCUGCUCUGAGUCUGGCCCAGCGUCUGUCCACUGACCUCAUCUAACCCAGAGUGUGUCCAUUACAUUUGCAACUUCAGGUUCGUCACAUUGAGGCGAGAGCCUGGUGGAAAAGGGGAAGUGAGAAGUUGAGUGGGGAGCCUCUCUCUCGUUUGAGGAUUUGCAGCUGUGAUCAAUGUCUCCAUGAAAGGGCUCUGACUCCACGGAGCCCAGGGAAGGUCCAAGAAGCAGAGCAAAGAGCAGCGUGAUGCUGUGUGAGCCAGCAGGGCCUCAAGUGGAGUUGGAGGAAUGGAUGAGCUCCUCUCUCUAGUAACUUUCUUGCUGUUGUUUGUUUCUCUAAAGAUUGGAUUGUCAACAGAAGAUAUGACUCGAGCAGUGAGGAUGAAGACCCUCCAGGGAUAUGCUGACUGCCUGCUCCUCACAAGAUUAUUACAAAUCAUAGCAGUUUAAAUUCACAGGUAAUUGUUCAGUCUUGUUCUUCUAGAAAACUUUAACCCUGAAUGUGACAAAACUCCACUAUGCCCAACGCCCAGAUCAGUGUUCCUUCCUGUAGGAACCUUUCCUUUCUCCCCAAACCAGUUCUUCAUGCUGCUCUCCAGGACCGUUUAUAAACAUCUCUGACAGACUCUGUAACCACUUUUGUUGAGAUUGGUGUGGUCUUAAAUCUUCUUUAAUGAGACAAGCUUAGUAGAGAGCUGAGUCUGUGGCCUUGAUUUUGGACAUGAAAUACAAAGAAUACCCAGCAAAAAGACAACAAAGAAUUACUAUUGCAUUGUCAUAUAAUUUAGUUUAAUAAUUUUAAAUCAGUCUGAUUUCCUGUAUAUUUUCUCCAGACUUUCAUCUUCCCUACGCUGGCCUGCUUCUCGAGUCAUCAUCUAAAUCAAUAAUAUAUUUGUAGGGAACAAACUUGAUUGUACAACAUACAAACAAUAAAACAGGAAAUUUAUCCGAGUUGUAAUAGAAU
rnacentral:lncRNA from 1 species